rnacentral:misc_RNA from 1 species
CUUUUUAUCUUGUUAAUUAGACAUUAAUUCUCAUUAGUUGUUUAUUUUAUAUAGUAAUUAUUAUUCUAUUGUUAAUGUGAUUAUUUCACUUUUUGUUCUUGUUAAUUUGUUGUUUAAUUAAUAUGAGUAUUGUUAAUUUGUUUGUAAUUAAUUUGCUUUUUAAUUGUUAUUCUUGCUAAUUUAAUUAGUUUUGCUUUUUCUCUUGUUAAUUAGUUGUUUAUCUUAUAUAGGAAUUAUUAAUUUAU